UAGAAAACAAACCUAAGUCGACACUGUGUAACACAGUGUCCAUUAGUGUAAGUGAGACAACUAAAAUUUUCUCUCUUACACUAAUAGACACUGUGUUACACAGUGUCGACUUGUGUCGAAGCUGGAAAGCACCCAGUGUUUCCAUCGUAAGAAUUCACACUCCAACCCGACUCUGACUCGAUUCGAACCCUCGAUGGAAACUUAAAUAUUGGCCGAUGCUUAAGGUGUAUCCCGACGGAGGAAGAAAAUAGCGGAACUCAGAACAGUUACGGAAAGGAGAUAUAGUGGAAGUCAGCCAAUCAGAGCAAUUCCGUUUUUGUUUUGUUCCGCUUUUCGACGAGUGGGUUCCCCACGUAUAAAGGGUCUCGCACAUGAAAUGCAUAAUAUAACAUAAGCACAACAUAAAUUCGUAUGUACUUGACCGAAGCAAAGCUCCGGAUGAAGAAAUGACUAUUUUAAAUCGUUUGUAUUUCGUUUGAAGAGUUAUGAAGUGCAUUUGAAAAGAUUCCAGGCGCUACUGGUCCUGAAGUACCAGAAGGCGCGUUCGGUGUAAUCUCUAGUAUUUCGAUACUCCUGGUUCUUUCUUGACAGUAAGGUUAAACAAUGUGCAGUAAGUCACAUAUUUCCAAAAUAUCUGGGGGGGCUAUUACGGUUUCUGAAACGAGGUGAAAAUUACAAAAGUGAGCAAAUUCAUUAGUUGUUGAUCAAUAAAGUUAUAGAUAUUCUAGUAAAUUUGUUCACUUUUGUAAUCACGCAGUUAGAACCAUUGAUACAUAUUGCACAAUUGUACUUUUCAUUACUCGGCUGUAUCACUGUUCUUCAUACAAAUAUAUAUAUAUAUAUAUAUAUAUAUAUAUAUAUAUAUAUAUAUAUAUAUAUA